rnacentral:tRNA from 1 species
GAGGGUACAGCUCAGAGGUAGAGCGUGUGCGUGGCAUGCGUGAGGUCCUGAGUUCAAUCCCCAGUACCUCCA